AUUGAACGCUGGCGGCAUGCCUAACACAUGCAAGUCGAGCGGAAGCACGGGGUUCGCCCUUGCGUCCAGUGGCGGACGGGUGAGUAAUGCAUAGGAACCUGCCCAGUAGUGGGGGAUAGCGUGCCGAAAGGGGGGCUAAUACCGCAUACGACCUGAGGGUGAAAGCGGGGGAUCUACAGACCUCGCGCUAUUAGAUGAGCCUAGGUCGGAUUAGCUAGUUGGUGGGGUAAAGGCUUACCAAGGCGACGAUCCGUAGCUGGUCUGAGAGGACGACCAGCCACACUGGAACUGAGACACGGUCCAGACUCCUACGGGAGGCAGCAGUGGGGAAUUUUGGACAAUGGGCGAAAGCCUGAUCCAGCCAUGCCGCGUGAGUGAAGAAGGCCUUCGGAUUGUAAAACGCUUUUAUUAGGGAAGAACGCCUGUGGGUUAAUACCUUGGGGUUUUGACGGUACCGAAAGAAUAAGCACCGGCUAACUACGUG
rnacentral:rRNA from 1 species